rnacentral:rRNA from 1 species
AAACCAGCACCUCAAGUGGUCAGGAGGUGUAUUGGGCCUAAAGCAUCCGUAGCCUGAUCUAUAAGUUUCCGGUUAAAUCCAAAUGCUCAACAUUUGGGCUGCCGGAAAAACUGUAGAUCUAGGGAGUGGGAGAGGUAGACGGUACUCGGUAGGAAGGGGUAAAAUCCUUUGAUCUAUUGAUGACCACCAGUGGCGAAGGCGGUCUACCAGAACACGUUCGACGGUGAGGGAUGAAAGCUGGGGGAGCAAACCGGAUUAGAUACCCGAGUAGUCC